rnacentral:tRNA from 1 species
UCUCUAAUGGCAGAUUAGUGCAUUAGCCUUAAGCGCUAAAAAUAGAUUUACUCUUUAGAGA